GUGACCUCGUCUGCUGUGCCCCAAGGAGGCUGCCCUCGGGGAAUUGCAGAAGUGAGGUCAUAAUGUUGCCUUGUCACCCGCUCCAGACAGGUGUCAAAUGUCAACCUGCUGCCAAGACCGAGCCCGGAUCUGAGGGCAGCAGCAACCACCACAGAAACUUUACUUUGGAUGGAAGUCUGAAGGCAGAAGGAGGCUGACCUUUGAAUUUUCCAGCACAGCCUUGACAAGUUCAGAGAGUGAGCGGAGAAGAAACUCACUGCAGGGGAAUGCCCACUAGCAAAUGCUCCAUCUCCCCGUUAUUUAUAUGGUCACAAAAGAAAGACUGAGAAGAAAAAAGACUUUUAUUUCUCACCAAGCACUCACUGCAGGUAGGAGCUGGGUGUUUCUCUUUUUUGUCUUGAACAGUCAGGGCUGGGGGGCUUGUUUUGUUUUUCUCGGCUUUUGUGUGUGUGGAUUUCUUGUUGCUGGCUUUGGGGCUUUGUCUUUCUUAUUUUUCCAGCAGGUCCUAGUCACAGAAAACAGCUGGGGUUCUAAAUGAAUACUUUUCUGUAAAAAGGCUUGUAUGACCAUGUGUGACUUGUGAAUUAUACCGCAAUGGUUACAGAAAGACUGGAUGCCAAGACUUCAAUGGAUGCUAAAAAGCCAGGAAUGCUGGUAUUGGAGAUGGGCCCUACUCUGUCUACCUUCUGGGAACCUCAACCCGGGUCUGUCUGCCUUCACAGUAAGUACUUUUCCUCACUGAGUCCUCUCCCUGGUCUUCGUUCUCAUAUUCCUUACAGAGACACCACCAGAUAGAUUUCUCAGGAAACAGCCUUCAUCCCAGGGUGGCCUUACCAUGCAGGGUGAGAUAAAGACACCAUCUGUCUCCAUCAGCCAUGCUUGGAGAGGCAAGCUUUGAUGGACAGUAAUCUGGGAAGCACCUGUUGAGACCUCCUAGGAGAAGUUAUUCCUUCUGCCAGACAGAAUGAGGAAAUAGCCCUGGAUAAAGGCAAUCUCUCCGAGGCAUGGCUAAAUCUAUGCCUACUUUCUGAUUACUUCCUUCAACCAGAAAACAGGAGGGUUUUUGUUUGUUAUUUUUCCUGUCUUGUCCCAGAGGUGCACAGUGUUGUUUUAAAAAGAAUA